GUUUAAGGGUUAGUGCUCACCUGUAGUAGAUACCCCCUCAUGUCCAGACCUCGUAGAGGGAACUCGACGUAGGUGGUUACUUUGUUCCUCAGGUAGGAUGUCCAGUGGAAUCUCUUCAGGUGCAGACACAACACCUUGGGCAGCUUCUGGACCCAGAACUUCUUGGUCGAUUUCUGUCUCUUCUUACACCUGUGGCACAUAUAGAGCUCUGCCUGGUCUAGUUCCUCCAGGUCAGUGAAGCUACACAGGCAGUCUGAAGAAGAGCAGGGACAGAGAGAUGUCGUGGAUUACACUAAACCAGAAAGGAUUUAAACCUGAAAUGGCUUGAGUCAAUAAGUAUUCAACCCCUUUGUUACGGAAAGCCAUAAGUUCAAUAAGUUAAAUAUAAUAAGUAAGUAAAGUAAGUAAAUGUAAAACAUUUGCUUAACAAGUUAGGUAAUAAGUUGCAUGGACUCACUCUGUGGGCAAGUAGUGUUGCCCACAGAGUGUUUAACAUGAAUGACUACCUCAUCUCUGUACCCCACACAUACAGAUAACGGUAAGGUCCCUCAUCUCUGUACCCCACACAUACAGAUAAUGGUAAGGUCCCUCAUCUCUGUACCCCACACAUACAGAUAAUGGUAAGGUCCCUCAUCUCUGUACCCCACACAUACAGAUAAUGGUAAGGUCCCUCAUCUCUGUACCCCACACAUACAGAUAAUGGUAAGGUCCCUCAUCUCUGUACCCCACACAUACAGAUAACGGUAAGGUCCCUUAGUCGAGCAGUGAAUUUCAAAACACAGAUUGAACGACAGACACCUAUUGGUAGAUAGGUUAAAAAAAAAAACACUUUGAAAAUAUCUCCCCGGAGAGGAAGGAACCCAGUCAGGGAUUUCACCAUGAGGCCAAUGGUGACUU